UACACUUUAAAUCCUAUCACAAGGACCAAUUAGAGGGCCAGUCUGGUGCCAGCAGCCGCGGUAACUCCAGCUCUAAUAGCGUAUAUUAAAGUUGUUGCGGUUAAAAAGCUCGUAGUUGAAUCUGUGUUCCGCGCUGUCGGUUCACCGCCCGCGGUGUUAACUGGCACGUCUCGCGGAACGUCCUGCCGGUGGAUGUGUGUCCUUUGUUUACUUACCCAUUAUGCGUGUGCAACUCCGGUUGUUACUGUAUAGUGUGGUGGGGUUCAAAUGUGUCACCAUCCGACUCAAUAAUCCUGUCGCGGUGCUCUUAAUUGAGUGUCGAGGCGGGCCGGCACGUUUACUUUGAACAAAUUAGAGUGCUCAAAGCAGGCUAAAAUUUUGCCUGAAUACUGUGUGCAUGGAAUAAUAGAACAGGACCUCGGUUCUAUUUUGUUGGUUUUCGGAACCCCGAGGUAAUGAUUAAUAGGGACAGAUGGGGGCAUUCGUAUUGCGACGUUAGAGGUGAAAUUCUUGGAUCGUCGCAAGACGGACAGAAGCGAAAGCAUUUGCCAAAAAUGUUUUCAUUAAUCAAGAACGAAAGUCAGAGGCUCGAAGGCGAUCAGAUACCGCCCUAGUUCUGACCAUAAACGAUGCCAGCUAGCGAUCCGCCGACGUUCCUCCGAUGACUCGGCGGGCAGCUUCCGGGAAACCAAAGCUUUUGGGUUCCGGGGGAAGUAUGGUUGCAAAGCUGAAACUUAAAGGAAUUGACGGAAGGGCACCACCAGGAGUGGAGCCUGCGGCUUAAUUUGACUCAACACGGGAAAGCUUACCAGGCCCGGACACCGGAAGGAUUGACAGAUUGAGAGCUCUUUCUUGAUUCGGUGGGUGGUGGUGCAUGGCCGUUCUUAGUUGGUGGUGUGAAUUGUCUGGUUAAUUCCGUUAACGAACGAGACUCUAGUCUGCUAAAUAGGCGUUAUUCCGGUAUCCUGAAGGCUCGUGUCUCUCGUUUUCUGUCGUGCUCUUGUUGUGGUGUAUCAUCGCUCAGGCGGUGUGCAUUGCACGGGGGUGCGUUUCAGUGCGAGAGUUCACGGUUUUUACUACCGGCGUACAUAUAAAUCUUCUUAGAGGGACAGGCGGCUUCUAGCCGCACGAGAUUGAGCAAUAACAGGUCUGUAAUGCCCUUAGAUGUUCUGGGCCGCACGCGCGCUACACUGAAGGAAUCAGCGUGUCUUCCCUGGCCGAACGGUCCGGGUAACCCGCUGAACCUCCUUCGUGCUAGGGAUUGGGGCUUGCAAUUGUUCCCCAUGAACGAGGAAUUCCCAGUAAGCGCGAGUCAUAAGCUCGCGUUGAUUAAGUCCCUGCCCUUUGUACACACCGCCCGUCGCUACUACUGAUUGAAUGAUUUAGUGAGGUCUUCGGACUGGUACGCGGCGGCGUUUCGACAUCGCCGAUGUCGCUGGGAAGAUGACCAAACUUGAUCAUUUAGAAGAAGUAAAAGUCGUAACAAGGUUUCCGUA
rnacentral:rRNA from 1 species